AAACUCUUGUAUUAACCAUAAUAAUUAUGAAAAGUGGGCUCUGUCAAAUACGCUGUGAGAAUAUUCUCAUGGAGAGUCAUGACACGGAAUGAAGCUGCACUGUCCCGUAAAGAUGUUUUCAAGCUCAGGGUCCUGACAGGAAAGAGAUGGCAAAUGCAAAAGGGAGAUUAAAGAGAGUUUGAUGAAGGCACUGUUUACAAGGGCUUGGGCGGGUUUAAGGAAAACCAACAAGGGAUGGUAAAGCACCUAGGGACUCGCACCCACAGGAAGUAGCUACGUAAGGAAUCAGCCAUUGGAACCCAGGGAGAGCUGUAGCUAUAGGAAGAGGCUGCCUGCAAGAUGCAGCUGCUCACAAGCCCUGGCCCAGCAGGCAGAUGAGCCAAGGGAGGAAACACUUCAAGGUCUUUCCCCUCCUCCUGUCUGUGCCUUCCAUUGGCCAAACCCGACCAGAUUCGGAAGGCACAGGCCGUAGGUGCAGCCAGGUCAGUCUUCUUGGACAGAGAGCAGGCUGAGGGAUGCAAAGUAGAUCUGGAGGGACAAAUGGAAAACCUCUAGCACAGAUGUCAACUAGCUCUUUCCUUCUUGAUUCUGCAUUGUGAUUUCUUGCCUAUUUUUUAGAUGUACUGAACAAGAUUUGAGUUAUUUUCUAUGUGAUCUAAAAGAGAAAGCACUUUUUUAUCAGCAAAACUAGAAACAACUAGACUCACAAGUGUGCAGCUAAACCCUUGAAAUAAACGGCUUCAUCUCAAACCUAAAUAAAAAGAAAGAUCUCAGUCAUGCCUUCCCAGGCCAUUUUAAUUAACUUUAUCGGAAAAGUUCUAAAUGUCUAACUGUCUUUAUCUUUGUUUCCAGAUUUUCAAUUGGCCAGAAGGAUUUUGAUGGUUGACAGAACUCACAGUCCUGUGCCUUCACUCUGAUGAUGCAUCUCCUGCUCCAGCUGGAAUCCUUCUCAGGAAAACGAGCAGAGGUCAGGCUGACCCUUCUUGCUGGGCAGGUGGGGCCUCCAUCUUCAGUUCAAGCUACCUUAGCUGGAAGUUUCGAGAGGACACCAAAUAUUUACUCUGUUUAAUAUUACAUUUUUAUUGAU
rnacentral:lncRNA from 1 species